rnacentral:rRNA from 1 species
GCAGAGCAUCCUACGGGAGGCAGCAGUGGGGAAUAUUGGCACAAUGGGCGCAAGCCUGAUGCAGCCAUGCCGCGUGUAUGAAGAAGGCCUUCGGGUUGUAAAGUACUUUCAGCAGUGAGGAAGGUGGGUAUGUUAAUAGCAUACUCAUUUGACGUUAGCUGCAGAAGAAGCACCGGCUAACUCCGUGCCAGCAGCCGCGGUAAUACGGAGGGUGCGAGCGUUAAUCGGAAUUACUGGGCGUAAAGCGCAUGCAGGUGGUUUGUUAAGUCAGAUGUGAAAGCCCGGGGCUCAACCUCGGAAUUGCAUUUGAAACUGGCAAACUAGAGUACUGUAGAGGGGGUAGAAUUUCAGGUGUAGCGGUGAAAAUGCGUAGAGAUCUGAAGGAAUACCGGUGGCGAAGGCGGCCCCCUGGACAGAUACUGACACUCAGAUGCGAAAGCGUGGGGAGCAAACAGGAUUAGAUACCCUGGUAG